rnacentral:lncRNA from 1 species
AUUUCACCUUCAGUAUACUGCUGGAGGGCCAGAACAAGGAGUUAAUGAGAACAGCAUCUAUGAGGCGUGCCAUGACUGUUGGGUGGAGCAGAGAGGGCAGUUUUUGCCAUAAAAAAAUACAACAGCUGGUUGGGCAUGGUGGCUCAUGCUUGUAAUCCCAGCACUUACGGAGGCCGAGGAGGGCGGAUCACCCAAGGUCAGGAGUUCGAGACCAGCCUGGCCAACAUAGUAAAACCCCGUCUCUACUAAAAAUACAAAAAUUAACCGUGUUUGGUGGCACUCACCUAUAGUCACAGCAACUCAGGAGGCUGAGGCAGCAGAACUGCUUGAACCCGGCAGGCGGAGGUUGCAAGUGAGUCGAGUCGCGCCACUGCACUCUAGCCUGGCCAGCAGAGCGAGACUCCCUCUCCAAAAAAU